rnacentral:antisense_RNA from 1 species
CUCUGUGACUGGCUUGCUUGAUAGUUAGGGUCUGAUUGCUGCCUGAGACACCAUAUCGGUACUCCUCAGAGUUGAAUCAGAGGUGGGGAGAGUGGUGGAAGGGCCUGUGGACUUACGGAUGCUGCUGCGACACUCUAUGACCUCAGACUGCAAGUAAGAGCCAAUCCCGAAGCGGUUUGUUGCAGCCACACGGAACACAUACUCAUUUCCUUCAAUGCUGGAGGACCAGGUUUAUCUGAAAGAAUAAGGAAGAAGAGUGAAGUAUUUCACUAAAAUAUGUGGAAUGGGGAAUGAGUAUAGAGUAGAGGUCUGGAGACCUGGGCUGCAGUCUUUCUAUUGCCAAUUUCCUAUAUGACCUAGGAGGUGUAUAUUUAAUUUUUUAUUAGGAAAAAUGACCAUCAUGAAUGCUGUUACAUCUUUGCCUAUAAUACUCAGCAGAAUCUUACCAUUUUCUGCGAGGAUAGUCACUGGAUCAGAAGGUUCAGAAGGAACACCUGGAGAUGAAGACAAGGAAAAUGUCAGUUUCUACAUUAAGUAACAAACUAGAAAGAAAACAUAACUUUUUUUCUCCUUCACAAAAACAUACCAAAUGGGAACUGCGCAACCAUCUUUGGAGAUGUGAGAGGCUCUGAAAUGCCAAAUCGGUUUUCAGCACGGACCCGGAAGAUGUACUCCUGGCCUGGGAUGAGCUUUCCAACCCUGCAGGAAGUUUUUGUGACUGAAGCUAGAGCCGU